UGCAAGUCGGACGGGAUUCCAUCGGAAGAAGCUUGCUCGAAGAAUGGUGAAGAAGUGGCGCACGGGUGCGUAACGCGUGAGCAACCUACCUCUAUCAGGGGGAUAGCCUCUCGAAAGAGAGAUUAACACCGCAUAAUAUCAACAGUUCGCAUGUUCAGUUGAUUAAAUAUUUAUAGGAUAGAGAUGGGCUCGCGUGACAUUAGCUAGUUGGUAGGGUAACGGCUUACCAAGGCGACGAUGUCUAGGGGCUCUGAGAGGAGAAUCCCCCACACUGGUACUGAGACACGGACCAGACUCCUACGGGAGGCAGCAGUAAGGAAUAUUGGUCAAUGGGCGGAAGCCUGAACCAGCCAUGCCGCGUGCAGGAUGACUGCCCUAUGGGUUGUAAACUGCUUUUGUCCAGGAAUAAACCUAGAUACGUGUAUCUAGCUGAAUGUACUGGAAGAAUAAGGAUCGGCUAACUCCGUGCCAGCAGCCGCGGUAAUACGGAGGAUCCGAGCGUUAUCCGGAUUUAUUGGGUUUAAAGGGUGCGUAGGCGGCCUAUUAAGUCAGGGGUGAAAUACGGUGGCUCAACCAUCGCAGUGCCUUUGAUACUGAUGGGCUUGAAUCCAUUUGAAGUGGGCGGAAUAAGACAAGUAGCGGUGAAAUGCAUAGAUAUGUCUUAGAACUCCGAUUGCGAAGGCAGCUCACUAAGCUGGUAUUGACGCUGAUGCACGAAAGCGUGGGGAUCGAACAGGAUUAGAUACCCUGGUAGUCCACGCCCUAAACGAUGAUAACUCGAUGUUGGCGAUAGACAGCCAGCGUCCAAGCGAAAGCGUUAAGUUAUCCACCUGGGGAGUACGCCCGCAAGGGUGAAACUCAAAGGAAUUGACGGGGGCCCGCACAAGCGGAGGAGCAUGUGGUUUAAUUCGAUGAUACGCGAGGAACCUUACCCGGGCUUGAAAGUUAGUGAAGA
rnacentral:rRNA from 1 species